UUGACAUCCAGCGAACUUUCCAGAGAUGGAUUGGUGCCUUCGGGAACGCUGAGACAGGUGCUGCAUGGCUGUCGUCAGCUCGUGUUGUGAAAUGUUGGGUUAAGUCCCGNAACGAGCGCAACCUUAUCCUUUGUUGCCAGCGAUUCGGUCGGGAACUCAAAGGAGACUGCCGGUGAUAAACCGGAGGAAGGUGGGGAUGACGUCAAGUCAUCAUGGCCCUUACGAGUAGGGCUACACACGUGCUACAAUGGCGCAUACAAAGAGAAGCGACCUCGCGAGAGCAAGCGGACCUCAUAAAGUGCGUCGUAGUCCGGAUCGGAGUCUGCAACUCGACUCCGUGAAGUCGGAAUCGCUAGUAAUCGUGGAUCAGAAUGCCACGGUGAAUACGUUCCCGGGCCUUGUACACACCGCCCGUCACACCAUGGGAGUGGGUUGCAAAAGAAGUAGGUAGCUUAACCCUCGGGAGGGCGCUUACCACUUUGUGAUUCAUGACUGGGGUGAAGUCGUAACAAGGUAGGCGUAGCGAG
rnacentral:rRNA from 1 species